rnacentral:rRNA from 1 species
AUGGCGACCGGCGCACGGGUGAGUAACACGUAUCCAACCUGCCGAUAACUCGGGGAUAGCCUUUCGAAAGAAAGAUUAAUGCCCGAUGGCAUAAUUAGACCGCAUGGUCUUAUUAUUAAAGAAUUUCGGUUAUCGAUGGGGAUGCGUUCCAUUAGGCAGUUGGUGAGGUAACGGCUCACCAAACCUUCGAUGGAUAGGGGUUCUGAGAGGAAGGUCCCCCACAUUGGAACUGAGACACGGUCCAA